AGAGUUUGAUCAUGGCUCAGAUUGAACGCUGGCGGAUUUACACAUGCAAGUCGAACGGUAACGCGGGGCAACCCUGGCGACGAGUGGCGAACGGGUGAGUAAUACAUCGGAACAUGUCCUGGAGUGGGGGAUAGCUCGGCGAAAGCCGGAUUAAUACCGCAUACGCUCUGAGGAGGAAAGCGGGGGACUCGCAAGGCCUCGCGCUGCAGGAGUGGCCGAUGUCGGAUUAGCUAGUUGGUGAGGUAAAGGCUCACCAAGGCGACGAUCCGUAGCUGGUCUGAGAGGAUGAUCAGCCACACUGGGACUGAGACACGGCCCAGACUCCUACGGGAGGCAGCAGUGGGGAAUUUUGGACAAUGGGGGCAACCCUGAUCCAGCCAUGCCGCGUGAGUGAAGAAGGCCUUCGGGUUGUAAAGCUCUUUCGGACGGAACGAAAUGGUUACAGUGAAUAACUGUGAUUGAUGACGGUACCGUAAGAAGAAGCACCGGCUAACUACGUGCCAGCAGCCGCGGUAAUACGUAGGGUGCGAGCGUUAAUCGGAAUUACUGGGCGUAAAGCGUGCGCAGGCGGUUCGCCAAGUCAGGUGUGAAAUCCCCGGGCUUAACCUGGGAAUUGCGCUUGAAACUAGCGGGCUUGAGUGUGGCAGAGGGGGGUGGAAUUCCACGUGUAGCAGUGAAAUGCGUAGAGAUGUGGAGGAACACCGAUGGCGAAGGCAGCCCCCUGGNNNNNNACUGACGCUCAUGCACGAAAGCGUGGGGAGCAAACAGGAUUAGAUACCCUAGUAGUCC
rnacentral:rRNA from 1 species